rnacentral:rRNA from 1 species
GACGAACGCUGGCGGCGUGCUUAACACAUGCAAGUCGAACGGAAAGGCCCUGCUUUUGUGGGGCGCUCGAGUGGCGAACGGGUGAGUAACACGUGAGUAACCUGCCCUUGACUUUGGGAUAACUUCAGGAAACUGGGGCUAAUACCGGAUAGGAGCUCCUGCUGCAUGGUGGGGGUUGGAAAGUUUCGGCGGUUGGGGAUGGACUCGCGGCUUAUCAGCUUGUUGGUGGGGUAGUGGCUUACCAAGGCUUUGACGGGUAGCCGGCCUGAGAGGGUGACCGGCCACAUUGGGACUGGGGUACGGCCCAGACUCCUACGGGAGGCAGCAGUGGGGAAUAUUGCACAAUGGGCGGAAGCCGGAUGCAGCAACGCCGCGUGCGGGAUGACGGCCUUCGGGUUGGAAACCGCUUUCGCCUGUGACGAAGCGUGAGUGACGGUAAUGGGUAAAGAAGCACCGGCUAACUACGU